rnacentral:rRNA from 1 species
AGGACGAACGCUGGCGGCGUGCUUAACACAUGCAAGUCGAGCGGAAAGGCCCUUCGGGGUACUCGAGCGGCGAACGGGUGAGUAACACGUGAGUAAUCUGCCCCUAGCUCUGGGAUAGCUCCGGGAAACCGGGAUUAAUACUGGAUACGACCACCUUAGACAUCUUUUGUGGUGGAAAGUAAUUUCGGCUAGGGAUGAGCUCGCGGCCUAUCAGCUUGGUUGGUGGGUAACGCCUACCAAGGCGACGACGGGUA